rnacentral:lncRNA from 1 species
AAAGAGCAAAAAUAUAUUGAUCUCAUAAAUAAAUUAAUCGAAAACUAUAAAAAAACAAAUACUCACCAAAAAAUUUGAAAACACUUUGGGAUAUGUUUAAAUCAGAGGUAAGAACCGCAACUCUUACUUACUGCAAACAAAGAUCAUCUGAAAAUAAAAAUGAUAUAAAAAAUUUAGAAACAAAAUUAAGAAAAUUAAAUGAAAAAAACAAAUGUAAGCCCAACUAUGGAAAAAGAAAUUAAAACCAUGGAAGAAAAACUUGAAAACCUCUACUUAAAUAAAGUUAAAGGUGCACAAAUAAGAUCCCGAGUACAAUGGUUAGAAGAAGGAGAGAAAAACACUAAAUUCUUCCUGGGCCUUGAAAAA